GAAAGAGGCCAAAAUGGCGUUGAGGCUUUUAAGGUCGGCAUCUUCUGUCACAAAAACGCUCACUGGACGACAAAAGCUUCCUGUGUGGUGUUUGGCAAGCAGCAGGACUUUUUCAGCACAGCCAGAACUUGUCCUUAAUGUGCCAGAAACCAAAUUGACCCAAUUGCCCAAUGGUUUCAGAGUAACCUCUGAAGACUCUGGUCUUCCCACCUGUACGGUGGGUCUUUUCAUUGAUGCUGGCAGUCGUUAUGAAGAUCCAUCUAAUAAUGGAACGGCACACUUUUUAGAACAUCUUGCUUUCAAGGGCACUGGAAGCAGAACAAAAACUCAGCUGGAGCUGGAGGUGGAGAACAUGGGUGCCCAUUUAAACGCCUACACUUCUAGAGAAACCACUGUGUAUCACGCUAAGAUAUUCUCUCAGGACAUAGAAAAAGGGGUAGAGAUCCUCGCAGACAUUGUUCGUAACAGUAACCUGAACGAGGAGGACAUAGAGCAGGAACGCAGCGUGAUUUUGCGAGAAAUGCAGGAAGUGGAGACCAACCUGCAGGAGGUGGUGUUUGACUACCUCCACAUGACUGCCUAUCAAAACACUCCCCUGGGGAUGACCAUCCUGGGGCCUGAGGACAACAUCAAGUCAAUCAGGCGAGCAGAUCUGAAGCAGUAUGUAGAUACCCAUUAUGUAGCUCCCAGAAUGGUGCUAGCAGCAGCAGGAGGUGUGGAUCAUGAUAAACUGGUUAAGCUUGCUGAGAAAUAUUUUGGUGAUAUGCCAGAAACUAAAGAAGACUUCACACCAGCAAAAUGCAAGUUCACAGGCGCUGAUACACGUGAGCGUGAUGACUACAUGCCCCUAGCCUAUGUGGCCAUAGCGGUGGAGACGCCAGGCUGGAAGCACGCGGACACCAUCCCCCUCCAGGUGGCCAGCAUGAUGGUGGGAGCAUGGGAUAGGUCCAAGGCGGCCGGAAAACAUCAGGGCGGACUUAUUGCUAAAUGUGUCGAAUUGGGGCUCUGCAACAGUUUCAUGUCCUUUAAUACAUUGUACAAGGACACUGGGCUUUGGGGCAUCUAUUAUGUGAGUGAAGCGGAAAAAGUUUAUGACAUGGUAGAUCAGUUCCAAGCGCAGUGGAUGCACAUGUGCAAAAACCUGACCGAAUACGAGGUGAAUCGUGCCAAGAACCUCUUGAAGACUAGCCUGAUGCUUGGUUUGGAUGGCACCACCAACAUCUGUGAGGACAUCGGCAGGUAGGUUUGGUUAAUAAAGUGUUGGAUGACACCACCAACAUCUGUGAGGACAUCGGCAGGUAGGUUUGGUUAAUAAACAGUGUUGGAUGACACUACCAACAUCUGUGAGGACAUCGGCAGGCAAACUCUGACCUAUGGACACCGCAUUCCUAUGUAUGAAAUGGUGGAGCGUAUCAAUAGAAUUACCCCCAACUCCCUAAUGAAG
rnacentral:misc_RNA from 1 species